rnacentral:rRNA from 1 species
GACGAACGCUGGCGGCGUGCUUAACACAUGCAAGUCGAACGAAGUGGCGAACGGGUGAGUAACGCGUAAUCAACCUGCCCUUAAGAGGGGGACAACAGUUGGAAACGACUGCUAAUACCGCAUAAGGAAGGGGGGGAUUGGGGCUGAUUAGCUAGUUGGAGGGGUAACGGCCCACCAAGGCGAGGAUCAGUAGCCGGUCUGAGAGGAUGAACUGCCACAUGGGGACUGAGACACGGCCCCGACUUCUACGGGAGGCAGCCGUGGGGAAUCUUCCGCAAUGGACGAAAGUCUGACUGAGCAACGCCGCGUGAGUGAUGACGGCCUUCGGGUUGUAAAGCUCUGUUAAUCGGGACGCGGUACCGGAAUAGAAAGCCACGGCUAACUACGUGCCAGCAGCCGCGGUAAUAC